rnacentral:misc_RNA from 1 species
GAAAUGCGAUAAGUAAUGUGAAUCGCAGAAUUCAGUGAAUCAUCGAAUCUUUGAACGCACAUUGCGCCCGCCAGUAUUCUGGCGGGCAUGCCUGUUCGAGCGUCAUUUCAACCAUCAAGCCCCCGGGCUUGUGUUGGGGACCUGCGGCUGCCGCAGGCCCCGAAAACCAGUGGCGGGCUCGCUGUCACACCGGGCGUAGUAGAUUUUUCGUCUCGCCCAGGGCGUGCUGCGGGUUCCGGCCGUUAAAAAGCCUCUCUUUUAACCCAAGGUUGACCUCGGAUCAGGUAGGAAGACCCGCUGAACUUAAGC